ACAAAAAGUAGGAGCCCGCAAGGGUGACUGCGUACCUUUUGUAUAAUGGGUCAGCGACUUACAUUCAGUGGCAAGGUUAACCGAAUAGGGAAGCCGUAGCGAAAGCGAGUCCGAAUAGGGCGAUUCAGUCGCUGGGUGUAGACCCGAAACCAAGUGAUCUAUCCAUGGCCAGGAUGAAGGUGCCGUAACAGGUACUGGAGGUCCGAACCCACUAGUGUUGCAAAACUAGGGGAUGAGCUGUGGAUAGGGGUGAAAGGCUAAACAAACUUGGAAAUAGCUGGUUCUCUCCGAAAACUAUUUAGGUAGUGCCUCAAGUAUUACCGUCGGGGGUAGAGCACUGUUUAGGCUAGGGGGUCAUGGCGACUUACCAAACCUAUGCAAACUCCGAAUACCGACGAGUACAGCUUGGGAGACAGAGCACCGGGUGCUAACGUCCGGACUCAAGAGGGAAACAACCCAGACCGCCAGCUAAGGUCCCGAAUUAUCGCUAAGUGGGAAACGAAGUGGGAAGGCUAAAACAGUCAGGAUGUUGGCUUAGAAGCAGCCAUCAUUUAAAGAAAGCGUAAUAGCUCACUGAUCGAGUCGUCCUGCGCGGAAGAUGUAACGGGGCUAAGCGAUAAACCGAAGCUGCGGGUGUGCACUUUUAGUGCACGCGGUAGGAGAGCGUUCUGUAAGCCUGCGAAGGUGGCUUGUAAAGGCUGCUGGAGGUAUCAGAAGUGCGAAUGCUGACAUGAGUAGCGAUAAAGGGGGUGAAAAGCCCCCUCGCCGUAAGCGCAAGGUUUUCUACGCAACGUUCAUCGGCGUAGAGUGAGUCGGCCCCUAAGGCGAGGCAGAGAUGCGUAGCUGAUGGGAAACUGGUUAAUAUUCCAGUACCGUCGUACAGUGCGAUGGGGGGACGGAUCGCGGAAGAUCAUCAGGGUGUUGGAUGUCCCUGUUGCUGUAUCGAAGAUGGCGCUUAGGCAAAUCCGGGCGCGUAAAUCAAGGGUAUGGCACGAGCGAGCAUUGCUUGCGAAGUGAUUGGAAGUGGUUCCAAGAAAAGCCUCUAAGCUUCAGCUGUACGAGACCGUACCGCAAACCGACACAGGUGGACGGGAUGAAUAUUCCAAGGCGCUUGAGAGAACUCAGGAGAAGGAACUCGGCAAAUUGAUACCGUAACUUCGGGAGAAGGUAUACCCCGGUAGUGUGAAGCGCCUGCGCGCUUAGCAUGAUGGGGUCGCAGAGAAUCGGUGGCUGCGACUGUUUAUUAAAAACACAGCACUCUGCAAAGACGAAAGUCGACGUAUAGGGUGUGACGCCUGCCCGGUGCUGGAAG
rnacentral:rRNA from 1 species